rnacentral:lncRNA from 1 species
UCUCCAUAUAGCUACAUAUAUUAAACCUUCCAAACUACCUCCAUUUAUUCAUUUAUCAACUAUACAAAAUCUCUUUCCUUCUUACAUUUAAAAGUCUUCUAUCUUUAAAUUGUUCUCCUACAGUGAAUUCACCUCUAAUUCAACAUUUGUUUAUCUGCAAUUAGGUCAGUUCUAAGCCGCUUGUAUUUUAUUUCUCGGUUUGUCGAAUAUUUGAAGUAAGCUAAAGGCUGCGUCAUUUUCAGAUCUUUAUAAGGGAGAACAGCUUUCAAAAAAUUUUAUACUAAGAAACACGAGCUAAAAGACGAAAAGAAAAUGUGGGUCUCUUGUUAGAUUCAAAAAUAAUAAAUUAUCUAUGUGUAUAUUUUGAUCCUAGUGCUACAUGCUGAAAAUCUGAUUCGACAUCCCGUGGACUUUUCUUUCGCUUUUGGUUCUGCGAUGAACUUUGAUUUUUUUAUUUUUUUUAUUUAAGUUAAGCCUCCUUGAUGUCCAUUGGCUUCUUGUUGAAAGGUUGUACUAAAUAACAAUAGAGCUGGAAAAACGACUAUUUUAGAAUGAUAAUAGAAGCAUUGUUGGUGAUUAGGUGUUUGAUUAGAAAUUUAACUUCAACAAAAAGUAUUGUCUGAAAAUAAAACUAAAUCUAGCUUGAUAAAAUAAUUCGAAAUGAUUUUUGAACGUGAUUGACGUUGUUUACUUGUCUUGGUCUAAAUUUUUGUCCAAAAAUGGACAUUGAGUGGUUUCAUUCUUAAUAUUUGAAAUUCGUUGUUUGUCAGCGUCAUGUUU